rnacentral:rRNA from 1 species
UACGUAGGGGGCAAGCGUUGUCCGGAUUUAUUGGGCGUAAAGAGCGUGUAGGCGGCUUGACAGGUCUGCUGUGAAACUCGAGGCUCAACCUCGAGAUGUCGGCGGAAACCGUCUGGCUAGAGUCCGGAAGAGGAGAGUGGAAUUCCUGGUGUAGCGGUGAAAUGCGCAGAUAUCAGGAAGAACACCUAUGGCGAAGGCAGCUCUCGUGGGACGGUACUGACGCUGAGACGCGAAAGCGUGGGGAGGCGAAC